CUGAGACCUGAUGCCGAGCCGAUUGUGGUGAAGUGGAUGAUCCUAUGCUGUCGAGAAAAGCCUCUAGCGAGUUUCAUGGCGGCCCGUACCCUAAACCGACUCAGGUGGUCAGGUAGAGAAUACCGAGGCGUUCGGGUGAACUAUGGUUAAGGAACUCGGCAAAAUGCCCCCGUAACUUCGGGAGAAGGGGGGCCAUCACCGGUGAGAGGAUUUACUCCUUGAGCUGGGGGUGGCCGCAGAGACCAGCGAGAAGCGACUGUUUACUAAAAACACAGGUCCGUGCGAAGCCGUAAGGCGAUGUAUACGGACUGACGCCUGCCCGGUGCUGGAACGUUAAGGGGACCGGUUAGUCACUCUUCGGGGUGGCGAAGCUGAGAACUUAAGCGCCAGUAAACGGCGGUGGUAACUAUAACCAUCCUAAGGUAGCGAAAUUCCUUGUCGGGUAAGUUCCGACCUGCACGAAUGGCGUAACGACUUCUCGACUGUCUCAACCAUAGGCCCGGUGAAAUUGCACUACGAGUAAAGAUGCUCGUUUCGCGCAGCAGGACGGAAAGACCCCGGGACCUUUACUACAGUUUGAUAUUGGUGUUCGGUUCGGCUUGUGUAGGAUAGGUGGGAGACUUUGAAGCGGCAGCGCCAGCUGUUGUGGAGUCGUCGUUGAAAUACCACUCUGGUCGUGCUGGAUGUCUAACCUGGGUCCGUGAUCCGGAUCAGGGACAGUGUCUGAUGGGUAGUUUAACUGGGGCGGUUGCCUCCUAAAGAGUAACGGAGGCGCCCAAAGGUUCCCUCAGCCUGGUUGGUAAUCAGGUGUUGAGUGUAAGUGCACAAGGGAGCUUGACUGUGAGACCGACGGGUCGAGCAGGGACGAAAGUCGGGACUAGUGAUCCGGCGGUGGCUUGUGGAAGCGCCGUCGCUCAACGGAUAAAAGGUACCCCGGGGAUAACAGGCUGAUCUUCCCCAAGAGUCCAUAUCGACGGGAUGGUUUGGCACCUCGAUGUCGGCUCGUCGCAUCCUGGGGCUGGAGUCGGUCCCAAGGGUUGGGCUGUUCGCCCAUUAAA
rnacentral:ncRNA from 1 species